rnacentral:lncRNA from 1 species
CGCAGCUCUCACAACUCAGAUCUUAGCAAUUGGAACAGAACAGGUUGUCACUGCUGAAGGACCAAGCAGAACAACGGUUUCAGGAAGCUUUAGCUCUAAAUCCCAGUAGAUGUAGAGCAGGUGCAGAGCUCUGGGGACUCUCAAAGCACUUUUAACUCUGGUUAAGUGUCAGAAUUGCAUUUAGACAUCAACACAUUUAUAUUCCUUGAUUCUUUCUUCUCCCUAAGCCUUAAACAUAUAGUCACCUUUUAUCAAAAAGAUAUUUUAUUUGUCUAAAUGGAAGAUAUAGUUUACUUUCUUCACACAGAUGCCAGAAAUUUUCUAUGAACGUAAAAUCUUUGGUGCAAUCAAGUGCAUACUGCUUCCCAGAUCCUACAAGAAAGGAGAUUAAGGUGUAGAAUUUUACACUCAUCACAGAAAGUUUUCAGAGACUAACUGGCAUCACCAACCAAAACACAACAUGCUAUCACCACAACUAUUUUUAAAUGUCUUAAGUAGUAGUUUCCAUUGGACAGCAGGUGUGUAAGCAGGAGCCAAGAGUGAAACACGCUCUUGCUCCUCUUCCUAGCAAGAGAGCAAAGACUGUGAGGUUUGGUGUAUUCAUCCAGAGAGAGUGUUUUAAAUGGGGCUAUGACAGAGAAGGUAGACGAGGUGUUGGGCAGCCCUGGACACCCUCAGAAAAUAUCCCUUCUUCAUGAAUUUAUUUUCUAUGUUCAGUUUUACACUAAAAGGUAAAAAAAAGUUAAAAAAAAGAAAAAAAAAGUCCACCCUAUAGUUUGUAUAACAAACAUUCUCACUUGUUCAUGCUGUAUUCAACGUCGAGCCCAUUUUCUUUCCCCUACUACAAAAUCCCACCGCUGGGGUCCUGGUACCUACAGUGAUGGUUCUGAAUAAAGCCCUCCUUACUCUGCUUUGAUAAAGGUCACCGGGUAAUCUUUCUCUCAACGCCUUGCCCAGCUGGCCCAGGGCUCCAAGAAAGGGAAGGCCAGACCCCUGGCCUCUGCCCUGGUUACUCACAGGGACAUCUGUGAAUAUCUGCUGCUGCCCCAUCUGGCCCCGGUGAGGCUGCUCCUCCCUUUCACGUUGGGCCCCACUGCAGCCUCCUGGUGUUCACCGCCAGGGCACACCCCAGGGGAACUGGGGUGGGAUCAUAAGCACAGGGUAGGCCCUCCCUCUCUGCCUGGCCACACUGCACUGCCAGGUGAAUUAAACAUGGCUCUUCCCCCAGGUGGUGCUUGGGGGCCCGUGCAGCAGGAGGGACAUCUUCUCCGCACAGCAAUGUUCCCAGAUCUCACCACCCUGAGUUCUGGCCCCUGCGUUGGGCGGAUCACCUGAGGUCGGGAGUUCAAGACCAGCCUGAGCAACAUGGAGAGCC